UUAAAGACUAUGAACAGGGCAAGUACUUAGUUUUCUUUGUUUUUAGAGAGUAACUGGUUGGUGGAAAGUUACAACAAGAAUUAAGGAAAAUCACCUGGGAGUUGGAGGCUGAAAUUAAUAAUAUAGUAAGCUUUUCCCGUGUUCUUGCGUUAAAGGAUAAAGUAUGUUAGUACUUGAUUUAAUACUACUUCGCAUAAAGUCGUUGAAAUUUAGAAGUAGUUCGAACCUAAAGGUGGGAUUGCGAAUAUAACUUCGUCCGUUAG
rnacentral:ncRNA from 1 species